UACGGAAGGCAGCAGUGGGGAAUAUUGCACAAUGGGCGAAAGCCUGAUGCAGCUAUGCCGUGUGUAUGAAGAAGGCCUUAGGGUUGUAAAGUACUUUCAUCGGGGAGGAAAAAACAAAACUAAUAAUUUUAUUUCUUGACGUUACCCGAAAAAGAAGCACCGGCUAACUCCGUGCCAGCAGCCGCGGUAAUACGGAGGGUGCUAGCGUUAAUCAGAAUUACUGGGCGUAAAGAGCACGUAGGUGGUUUUUUUAAGUCAGAUGUGAAAUCCCCUGGGCUUAACCUAGGAACUGCAUUUUGAAACUGAAAUACUAGAGUAUCGUAGAGGGAGGUAGAAUUCUAGGUGUAGCGGUGAAAUGCGUAGAUAUCUGGAGGAAUACCUGUGGCGAAAGCGGCCUCCUAAACGAAUACUGACACUGAGGUGCGAAAGCGUGGGGAGCAAACAGGGAUUAGAUACC
rnacentral:rRNA from 1 species